CGUUCUCGGGUCUUGUACACACCGCCCGUCAAGUCAAGAAAGUCGGGAACACCCGAAGUCAGUGGCCCAACCCUUUUUGGGAGGGAGCUGCCGAAGGUGGGUUCGGCGAUCGGGACU
rnacentral:rRNA from 1 species